UUCAGAGAAUAAUCUGCUUAUUAUAUUUGAUUCUUUUGCAGUUGCUUUCUUUGAAACCAUCACUUAAACAUAACGAAACAUUCUCUUGAUGUGAAAAUGUGUUUUCUGAGCUAUUUUCAACAUGAAACAUUUUCCAGACCUGCUAAGCUUAUAUUCCCCAGAGUACUUGAGAUACCGGCAAGGUGAAGACUUUUACCUAUAUAAAAUAAUGUUGAAAUCUUCCUUUUAACUCAGAACAUUUGUGAAAUGUGUAUGCUGCAGGCUUAUAUUAAAAAAAUAUGCUACCCUGCAGGAUGCAUUUUCAAUAGACAGUGAGUAUGUGAGUGAAGGUCUGCUCAUCCUAAUAAUGAGGGAUCUCCAACAUUCUGCACUACAGGUGUUGCAGACUAUGACUCAUCAUGCAGAGCCAGCAAAGUGGUAGCUUAGUCCUAUAAGAGUCAUAGGCUUCAGCAGCAGGAGAACCAGAGGCUACCUAUCCUUGCAAAUGAUAAGCACUACGAGUGACAGAGAAGUGUGCACAACACAGUAAUGCAUAUAUUUCUGAAAUCCAAUGACUAAAUUGUUUCCUACAGCUAUAUAGAAAGGAUUUUGAAAAAUAAGUUAAACUUUUCUAAUUUUGUGGGGGGAUGUUAUUUGGUAGAGAAUGUUUAUAAAAAAAAAAAAUAGAAAAGGCAUAUAUAGUUUUACAAGAACAGAAUGAUGGUUUAAAUGGAUACAUCUGUACAGGAAGUUAUGAGAUGUGGGUAUUGUUUUAGGUAAUCUACCAUGUAUUAAGGUAACAGAAAUACUUUUUAAAAAAAAUUGAAACCAUAUUUUUGGUGGUUACUAGAGACUUUACUAAAUAAAAACCUUUGAAAAUCACAGCAAAAUGACAUUGUGAUGAAGUGCCCUUCACCACUUGUGCCUGAAGAGGACUAAUGACUAGCUUUUUAACAUGUGACUAUGGUCCCUGGGAGUUAUUGCCAUUUAAACGCCUUUAUUUAUGGCUAUUGUACUUUGGAGACUGUUUCUGGCCCUUUAAAUGGUAUUGCUACAAUUCUGCACUUGUGAAGUGGCACUUCAGACACAGCCAAAGUGCCGAAGUAUUUGAAGUGGCCGCCAUUCGACAAACAAACACGUGGUGGCCAUUUUAAUUUAGCCAAACGUGGUCAGCUGUGUUUUGCCGUCGAGUUCAUGGAACUAAAAUCGGAUACUCAAUGUCACGGAAGUUUUACCUUCUUUGUAAUUUCACACUUCGAAUGGAGUCGAAUGGCAUUCGACAAUACAAACGCCACAGUAACAUUGUAGAUUUGCAUGAACGGUAGUUGAACUGUAGUAAAUGGAGCGACCGCACAGCCAAAAUCUAUGGAACUGUUUUGGGCAGGAAAGCCAUGCUGUGGUCAGUCAAAUAAAACUUCCAGCUAACUCCCGAACGGCUGAACGGGUUUGCAUGAUUUUUGUAUAUGUUUGUUCCCUAAUUAUGCUGUUUCAGAAAAUAAGUUUUAUGUGAAUGUGAUGUAUAAUUUUAAAGUUAUAGAAAUUGUGUAAAAAGUGUAUUUUUCGCUUGGAAAUAAUUGACCUGAUACAGUAAUUAGCCCAAUUAUCUCCCAAGCAGAGGGGAGGAAUUUACUGUAAUGAAUGGGAGUGUUUAAUCGUGUGUCUGUAUAUGAUUUGUUGUUACGUUUGUGUUUUCAGUACCCAACAAUGUCCACAUGGGUGGUAACCUUGUGGGGAAAUGUGUAUAAAAGAAGCAAUAAAGCCUCAGUGCAUUCUGUUCAUGUUUGAC